rnacentral:rRNA from 1 species
UACGUAGGGGGCAAGCGUUGUCCGGAUUUACUGGGCGUAAAGAGCGUGUAGGCGGCUUUACAGGUCCGUUGUGAAAACUCGAGGCUCAACCUCGAGACGCCGGUGGAAACCGUAAAGCUAGAGUCCGGAAGAGGAGAGUGGAAUUCCUGGUGUAGCGGUGAAAUGCGCAGAUAUCAGGAAGAACACCCGUGGCGAAGGCGGCUCUCUGGGACGGUACUGACGCUGAGACGCGAAAGCGUGGGGAGCGAACAGGG